UUGAAGGCUGAAAUUCGCCUUCAUGAAGCUGGAAUUGCUAGUAAUGGCAGGUCAGCAUACUGCCGUGAAUACGUUCCCGGGCCUUGUACACACCGCCCGUCACACCAUGAGAGUUGGGAAUACCCGAAGCCUGUGAGCUAACUUAUAGAGGCAGCAGUCGAAGGUAGAAUCAAUGAUUGGGGUGAAGUCGUAACAAGGUAUC
rnacentral:rRNA from 1 species